rnacentral:rRNA from 1 species
UACGGGGGGGGCAAGCGUUUGUUCGGAAUUACUGGGCGUAAAGGGCUCGUAGGCGGCCAACUAAGUCGGAUGUGAAAUCCCCAAGCUUAACUUGGGAACUGCAUCCGAUACUGGAUGGCUUGAAUCCGGGAGAGGGAUGCAGAAUUCCAGGUGUAGCGGUGAAAUGCGUAGAAAUCAGGAGGAACACCGAUGGCGAAAGCAGGUCACUGGACCGCUAUUGACGCUCAUCCACGAAAAGCUAGGGGAGCAAACAGG